rnacentral:rRNA from 1 species
UAGGGAAUCUUCGGCAAUGGCGAAAGUCUGACCGAGCAACGCCGCGUGAGUGAAGAAGGUUUUCGGAUCGUAAAACUCUGUUGUUAGAGAAGAACAAGGGUGAGAGUAACUGUUCACCCCUUGACGGUAUCUAACCAGAAAGCCACGGCUAACUACGUGCCCG